rnacentral:rRNA from 1 species
AGCGAACGCUGGCGGCAGGCCUAAUACAUGCAAGUCGAGCGGCCGUAGCAAUACGGCAGCGGCAGACGGGAGAGUAACACGUGGGAACGUACCUUUCGGUUCGGAACAACCCAGGGAAACUUGGGCUAAUACCGGAUACGGUCGUAAGGAGAAAGAUUUAUCGCCGAAAGAUCGGCCCGCGUCUGAUUAGCUUGUUGGUGAGGUAACGGAUCACCAAGGCGACGAUCAGUAGCUGGUCUGAGAGGAUGAUCAGCCUCACUGGGACUGAGACACGGCCCAGACUCCUACGGGAGGCAGCAGUAGGGAAUAUUGGACAAUGGGCGCAAGCCUGAUCCAGCCAUGCCGCGUGAGUGAUGAAGGCCCUAGGGUUGUAAAGCUCUUUCGGCGGGGAAGAUAAUGACGGUACCCGCAGAGGAAGCCCCGGCUAACUUCGUGCCAGCCGCCGCGGUAA